rnacentral:rRNA from 1 species
CACAUGCAAGUCGAACGGAAAGGCCCCUUGCUUGCAGGGGUACUCGAGUGGCGAACGGGUGAGUAACACGUGGGUGAUCUGCCUUGCACUCUGGGAUAAGCUUGGGAAACUGGGUCUAAUACCGGAUAUGAACUGCCUUUAGUGUGGUGGUUGGAAAGUUUUUUCGGUGCAAGAUGAGCUCGCGGCCUAUCAGCUUGUUGGUGGGGUAAUGGCCUACCAAGGCGUCGACGGGUAGCCGGCCUGAGAGGGUGUACGGCCACAUUGGGACUGAGAUACGGCCCAGACUCCUACGGGAGGCAGCAGUGGGGAAUAUUGCACAAUGGGCGGAAGCCUGAUGCAGCGACGCCGCGUGGGGGAUGACGGCCUUCGGGUUGUAAACUCCUUUCGACAGGGACGAAGCUUUUUGUGACGGUACCUGUAUAAGAAGCACCGGCUAACUACGUGCCAGCAGCCGCGGUAAUACGUAGGGUGCGAGCGUUGUCCGGAAUUACUGGGCGUAAAGAGCUCGUAGGUGGUUUGUCGCGUCGUCUGUGAAAUUCCGGGGCUUAACUUCGGGCGUGCAGGCGAUACGGGCAUAACUUGAGUGCUGUAGGGGAGACUGGAAUUCCUGGUGUAGCGGUGAAAUGCGCAGAUAUCAGGAGGAACACCGAUGGCGAAGGCAGGUCUCUGGGCAGUUACUGACGCUGAGGAGCGAAAGCAUGGGUAGCAAACAGGAUUAGAUACCCUGGUAGUCCAUGCCGUAAACGGUGGGCGCUAGGUGUAGGGGGCUUCCACGUCUUCUGUG